rnacentral:rRNA from 1 species
UGGGGAAUAUUGCACAAUGGGCGCAAGCCUGAUGCAGCCAUGCCGCGUGUAUGAAGAAGGCCUUCGGGUUGUAAAGUACUUUCAGCGAGGAGGAAGGCGUUGUGGUUAAUAACCGCAACGAUUGACGUUACUCGCAGAAGAAGCACCGGCUAACUCCGUGCCAGCAGCCGCGGUAAUACGGAGGGUGCAAGCGUUAAUCGGAAUUACUGGGCGUAAAGCGCACGCAGGCGGUCUGUCAAGUCGGAUGUGAAAUCCCCGGGCUCAACCUGGGAACUGCAUCCGAAACUGGCAGGCUAGAGUCUUGUAGAGGGGGGUAGAAUUCCAGGGGUAGCGGUGAAAUGCGUAGAGAUCUGGAGGAAUACCGGUGGCGAAGGCGGCCCCCUGGACAAAGACUGACGCUCAGGUGCGAAAGCGUGGGGAGCAAACA